rnacentral:rRNA from 1 species
UACGGAAGGUCCGGGCGUUAUCCGGAUUUAUUGGGUUUAAAGGGAGCGUAGGCCGGUCUUUAAGCGUGCCGUGAAAUUUUGUGGCUCAACCAUGAGAGUGCGGCGCGAACUGGAGACCUUGAGUGCGCGGAAGGCAGGCGGAAUUCGUGGUGUAGCGGUGAAAUGCUUAGAUAUCACGAAGAACCCCGAUUGCGAAGGCAGCCUGCCGCAGCGUUACUGACGCUGAAGCUCGAAAGCGCGGGUAUCGAACAGG